rnacentral:lncRNA from 1 species
UAUUGUGUCAUACACAGGCCAUGCAUGCAUCAUAUACACCUGUUGGCAGCCCUGGGAAGCCAGAAGCCCCAAGGCCUGUGGAACUUCAGCUGGUCCCCAACCAUCUGUAUCACCUCUUGGGAAGUGGAAGUCAAUCUCUGACAAUAUUUCUGAGGCAUCAGCUUUAAAUUAGGGACAUCAGUCUACAUUUGGCUGGCUUUCUGAUGAAUUCUGGAGUUCAGCAAUGGAAGCUCCCAGAUGUCCCUUAUCAGAGGCUGCACCAGCUGGUCUGCCUGCCAUUAUCCUGAAAGAAACUGUCAGAAAUGAGAAUCCGCCUGAUGGAGUUUCCCUGAAACAGAACUUCCUAUGGUCAAGGGGAUGGACGUCUGAGAUUAGAGCCUUAUCUGCGCCUAGUCCAAUUACCACACAGUCAGUUGCAACAGCUUCCUUCUUUGACAGACCAACACUGCCAAGAAGCCCACCUAAGGCAAACUUCCCUCACAAUGUUUGGUACGUUUUUGACACAGAAAGACAGUGCGGAUGACCACUAGUCGUGAACAUCCUAUAUUUGUUUGGGAUGCCUAAGUGCCAUAGCCUGCAAUUUACUCACAGUACCUAAUGUACCCAUUGGCCGUCCUUGAUCUAUCAUCAUUUCUC